AAGAAGUCAGGCCGGAUUAAGCCAUAGCACGGUAAGAGCUAUGCUGCCUGUGAGCCCCGUCCAAGGACGUAAAAUGAAGUCAGGCCGAAAGCCACGGCUUGAGCAAACCGUGCUGCCUGUGGCUCCAUCGUGGGGAUGUAAAAACCCGGGAGGCUGCAACCCAUGGAAGCUGUACGCAUGGGGUAGCAGANNNNNGGUUAGAGGAGACCCCUCCCAAGACAUAACGCAGCAGCGGGGCCCAACACCAGGGGAAGCUGUACCCUGGUGGUAAGGACUAG
rnacentral:lncRNA from 1 species